rnacentral:pre_miRNA from 1 species
CAAUUACUCCCUCCGUUCCAUAAUUCUUGUCAAAAUAUUACAUGUAUUUAGACGUUUUUUAGGAAUAGAUACAUCUAUUUUUGGGCAAAUUUGAGACAAGAACUAUGAAAAGGAGGGAGUAGUUA